rnacentral:rRNA from 1 species
UAACGCGUGAGGAACCUGCCUCAAAGAGGGGGACGACAGUUGGAAACGACUGCUAAUACCGCAUAAGCCCACGACCCGGCAUCGGGUUGAGGGAAAAGGAGCAAUCCGCUUUGAGAUGGCCUCGCGUCCGAUUAGCUAGUUGGUGAGGUAAUGGCCCACCAAGGCAACGAUCGGUAGCCGGACUGAGAGGUUGAACGGCCACAUUGGGACUGAGACACGGCCCAGACUCCUACGGGAGGCAGCAGUGGGGAAUAUUGCACAAUGGGGGAAACCCUGAUGCAGCGACGCCGCGUGGAGGAAGAAGGUCUUCGGAUUGUAAACUCCUGUUGUUGAGGAAGAUAAUGACGGUACUCAACAAGGAAGUGACGGCUAACUACGUGCCAGCAGCCGCGGUAAAACGUAGGUCACAAGCGUUGUCCGGAAUUACUGGGUGUAAAGGGAGCGCAGGCGGGAAGACAAGUUGGAAGUGAAAUCUAUGGGCUCAACCCAUAAACUGCUUUCAAAACUGUUUUUCUUGAGUAGUGCAGAGGUAGGCGGAAUUCCCGGUGUAGCGGUGGAAUGCGUAGAUAUCGGGAGGAACACCAGUGGCGAAGGCGGCCUACUGGGCACCAACUGACGCUGAGGCUCGAAAGUGUGGGUAGCAAACAGGAUUAGAUACCCUGGUAGUCCACACCGUAAACGAUGAUUACUAGGUGU